rnacentral:rRNA from 1 species
CUCCUACGGGAGGCAGCAGUGGGGAAUAUUGCACAAUGGGCGCAAGCCUGAUGCAGCAACGCCGCGUGAGGGACGACGGCCUUCGGGUUGUAAACCUCUUUUAGUAGGGAAGAAGCGAAAGUGACGGUACCUGCAGAAAAAGCACCGGCUAACUACGUGCCAGCAGCCGCGGUAAUACGUAGGGUGCAAGCGUUAUCCGGAAUUAUUGGGCGUAAAGAGCUCGUAGGCGGUUUGUCGCGUCUGCUGUGAAAACUGGAGGCUCAACCUCCAGCCUGCAGUGGGUACGGGCAAACUAGAGUGCGGUAGGGGAGAUUGGAAUUCCUGGUGUAGCGGUGGAAUGCGCAGAUAUCAGGAGGAACACCGAUGGCGAAGGCAGAUCUCUGGGCCGUAACUGACGCUGAGGAGCGAAAGCAUGGGGAGCGAACAGGAUUAGAUACCCUGGUAGUCCAUGCCGUAAACGUUGGGAACUAGAUGUGGGGGCCAUUCCACGGCUUCCGUGUCGCAGCUAACGCAUUAAGUUCCCCGCCUGGGGAGUACGGCCGCAAGGCUAAAACUCAAAGGAAUUGACGGGGGCCCGCACAAGCGGCGGAGCAUGCGGAUUAAUUCGAUGCAACGCGAAGAACCUUACCAAGGCUUGACAUAUACCUGAAAAGGCUGGAAACAGUCUCCCCGCAAGGCAGGUAUACAGGUGGUGCAUGGUUGUCGUCAGCUCGUGUCGUGAGAUGUUGGGUUAAGUCCCGCAACGAGCGCAACCCUCGUUCUAUGUUGCCAGCGCGUUAUGGCGGGAACUCAUAGGAGACUGCCGGGGUCAACUCGGAGGAAGGUGGGGAUGACGUC